GUCACCCGAUGGACAUAUGACAUGUGGACCCAAACAGUGGACGCAUCCUAGAUCCCAACGGCCAGCGUCCAGCCUCCUUGGGGCUUGUACUUGUUCACUGAAUCACUACUUCGCGAGGUCAGCCGUCAACGCAUCAGCAGCAACUAGCAAGGCCGCCAAGCGGCCCAGGACCCAGGCCAGCUCCAAGCGAACAACCUACGUACGACUCUAUACCUCUCGCCCUCUGAGUCUCGCGCGGGCUGCAGGCCAUCUGGGCUCCGGCUUCCAGCAUCCACCAGACGUCCUUAGAAUACGGUGCAGCGAGCAGCGAGCAGCAAGUCACCGAGCAGCCGAGCGACCGCCGAGCACAGGGCACCACCAAGCAGCCGAGCCACCGCCCAGCGCCGAGUCUUCUCUGGUAAAUUAAACAGGCUUGGAUAAAUUAGUGUUUCAAUUUAGAGUUUUAGACAGAUUGCUUGUAGGGAUUUGAAAAGAUUACUUGUAUGGAUGAAUGGAUUUUGUUUGUACAGAUUGUAUGUACAAAUUGUGUUAAAAAUAUUAUUUGAUGUUGUU